rnacentral:rRNA from 1 species
AAAUUGAAGAGUUUGAUCAUGGCUCAGAUUGAACGCUGGCGGCAGGCCUAACACAUGCAAGUCGAACGGUAACAGGAAGCAGCUUGCUGCUUCGCUGACGAGUGGCGGACGGGUGAGUAAUGUCUGGGAAACUGCCUGAUGGAGGGGGAUAACUACUGGAAACGGUGGCUAAUACCGCAUAACGUCGCAAGACCAAAGAGGGGGACCUUCGGGCCUCUUGCCAUCAGAUGUGCCCAGAUGGGAUUAGCUGGUUGGUGAGGUAACGGCUCACCAAGGCGACGAUCCCUAGCUGGUCUGAGAGGAUGACCAGCCACACUGGAACUGAGACACGGUCCAGACUCCUACGGGAGGCAGCAGUGGGGAAUAUUGCACAAUGGGCGCAAGCCUGAUGCAGCCAUGCCGCGUGUAUGAAGAAGGCCUUCGGGUUGUAAAGUACUUUCAGCGGGG